rnacentral:rRNA from 1 species
CAAUAGCGUAUAUUUAAGUUGCUGCAGUUAAAAAGCUCGUAGUUGGAUUUCGGGUGGGAAUGGCCGGUCCGCCGUUUCGGUGUGCACUUGCUACGCCCACCUUGCUGCCGGGGACGUGCUCUUGAGUUCACGCUCGGGACACGGAGUCGGCGAGGUUAGUUUGAGUAAAUUAGAGUGUUCAAAGCAGGCCUACGCUCUGAAUACAUUAGCAUGGAAUAACACGAUAGGACUCUGGCCUAUCUUGUUGGUCUGUAGGACCGGAGUAAUGAUUAAGAGGGACAGUCGGGGGCAUUCGUAUUUCAUUGUCAGAGGUGAAAUUCUUGGAUUUAUGAAAGACGAACUACUGCGAAAGCAUUUGCCAAGGAUGUUUUCAUUAA